UUCUCCCUCUUCCAAGGGAAGGAAAUAAACAUUCCUAAAGGAUUCCCUCUGCCUAUUUCAUAUUUUACCCAUAUAAGUUAAUUAUGUGAUUGUCUUUUCAUUUCCCUCAAGGAAGGCUGUUGUUCUCUGGACUUUAUGGAGUUUUUGGGCCAAGGAUGAAGAUAAGCUGUACUGACAGAUGCAAUAACUAACAGCAAGACAUCCCUACAGGAAACUGGCGCAAACAUUAAUCGGACCACAUGUCCGAGUUGAUUAACAGGCUGCAUCGUUCGUAAUUUAAGUGACUUGUAUUUGAUUCACACAUUUCUUUUCAUCCGAUGUAGGGAAGUCGGCGUGUUAAUUUUUAAGGAAGUUUUACUCAGCAACAGUCACUUUUGACUCUUUAAAAUGUGGUGGUCCUUUUCACGUGAUGGCCACAUCCCCACAUGAAGAUGGAAGGGGAUUGUUGAUGUGUAUAGACAUCAUAGCAUCAAAAACACCCAUCUGCAUCCCUUUCCCCUUCCAUUUUUGCUAACAGAGGCAGUUUCCUGUCACAACAACCCUAUGAGAGAUGUAGCCUAUGUCUCAAAAAGGCUGCGAAAAUCUCACUUUAAAAGCUUGAAACCUGGAACACCUUUCGGAACAGGCUUAACAAUUAAGGUGGAGCUUGCAGUGUGAAGUACAGGUAAAAUAACAAAGUGAAUGCUGUCUUGUGCCUGCUGUGUAGCAGGCAGAAAUUAAACAGG